CCUACGGGAGGCAGCAGUGGGGAAUAUUGCACAAUGGGGGAAACCCUGAUGCAGCGACGCCGCGUGAGUGAAGAAGGAUCUCGGGAUGGAAAGCUCUAUCAGCAGGGAAGAAAAUGACGGUACGUGAACAAGAAGCCACGGCUAACGAAGUGCCAGCAGCCGCGGUAAUACGGAGGGGGCAAGCGUUAUCCGGAUUUACUGGGUGGACAGGGAGCGGAGCCGGCGCUGCAAGUCCGGUGUGAAAGCCCCUGGCUUAACCCUGGUACUGCUCUUGAAACUGUGGAGCUUGAGUGCGGGAGGGGCCGUCGGAAUUCCUAGUGUAGCGGUGAAAUGCGUAGAUAUUAGGAGGAACACCAGUGGCGAAGGCGGCCUGCUGGACGGUAACUGACGUUGAGGCUCGAACGCGUGGGGAGCAAACAGGAUUAGAUACCCCAGUAGUC
rnacentral:rRNA from 1 species